GUUAUGUAAGUUACUCAUUGUUUUACUUACAGUGACACCGGGAUCCUUGAUGAAAACGGCCUGCUUAAGAUUGUCGGGAGGAUUAAAGACGUGAUCUUGAAGAACGCUGAAAUAGUUUAUCCUGCCAUGGUUGAGCGAGUUCUGCAGACGCACCCCAAAGUAUUGGAUGUAAAGGUCGUUGGUGUACCAGACCCCGCCAAUGUGGAGGAGAUCUGUGCCUGUAUCAUCUUGAAGAACGGCCACACUCUACAGUUGCAGGAGAUGAGGGAAUGCUCUAAGGCC